rnacentral:lncRNA from 1 species
GGCUCUGUGGCAGGGAGUGGGAGGGUGAUUAACAGGGGAAGAAUUAGGAAAGAGGACACGCAAGACCACAGUAAGAGAUGGAAAUAAGAGAAUAUUCCUGAUUUCCACUGGAUGACUUUGACUGGUAUGAUUUCAUUCUCUGAAAGUGUUAACCAGGGUGCAGCAUGGCCAGAAACCAUUCCGAGCCUCAUGAAGUGGGCAAGUCAGGUUUGGUCAUUUUUGGUAAUGUCAUUGCAUGUACACAGUUUAAGACAGAGCAUCUGGUGAUUCUCGGACCUUCAAGCAAGUGUCACAUCUCAGGUGAACCUUGGCAGUUUUAAGAUGAACAAAGUAAUCAAAGCAAAAAUGUCAAAUAAUAAUAAUAAUAAUGAUAUCAGAAGAAUGUCCAGUGCCAUGGUUGGAUUCCCAGAAGGCAGCAUCUGCUCAUGCCAUCAACAACAUGGUGCCAUUUCAGUCAUCCUCUUUUUGUCCCAAAGACAGAAAAAAAAUAGAAAAAAGAAAGAGAAAAAGACACCACGAACCGUCUAUCCUCCUGGUAAUACAAAUACACCUGUAAAUAAACAUGUCAAUGUCUACACACAACGCACAUUUAUGCAGAAUCCAUCCUCUCGGUGCUUCCGUAGUUAUCAAGUAAAAGUCCUUCUAAGCCUAAGAAAUGAUAGUAUUAAUUCAGUCUUGGGGUGUGGGGGGAAAGGUGGACUAUCAUCAAAUAAAAAAGGCGAGGCUAAUUAAGUGACAUCCACUGGGGACUGGGAAAAGAAGAGACUUCUUGUGGGAAAGUAAUUAUAUCUUCAUUGACCCUCCUGGGGUACCCCCAGUGGCAGGGACUCUGCCUCGCGGUGUGACAUCUCCUUUCGGGAUGAGCAGCCAGUCACCUCGAGAAGCCCCCUUCUCCAUGGAUGCGUUUUCUAAUCAUUUCACAUGAUUGAGCCUCCAGCAAGUGAUGCUUUACUUAAUUCCUUUCCGCCUGUAGGGUGUGAGGUUUGGAGGGCCUCUCGUCAAAACUUUGGAGGGCUCUGUCAGUUUGAAAAGAACAUGACCUUUAAAUUGUAUCAGUAUGUUUGCUGGUGCAUAAGGGAGAGGAAAAGGUUCGUCCUGAUGGAAAACCACUCAGAAGCCAAGGAGUAAUUCAGAGGGAACCAGCCCAGGAAGAAUCAAGAAAGCUGCCCACAGUGUCAUUCUUCAGCUGAGAAAAGAGAGAGUUGACUAACUCCUCGGACUGGAGUGAGGACUCACAGAGGUGGUGAGAAGCCAUCCUCUCUUGAAUGGGGGCUCCCACUGUACAUCUGGCACCCACUUCACAGAUUCUGGGGGAUGUCAACACCAGCACUGCUGAGCUGUGUGACCUUGAGCAAGACAGUUAGCCUCUCUGAACCUCAGUGUCCUUCUCUGUAGGCUGGAGAUUGAUAUACCUUCAUUAUCGGGAUCCAUGAACUGGAAGAUGCUUUCUUAUAACUCAGAGAAAAGAGAUGAAAAUGAAUCAAAGAACAGGAAGGAGACAAGCUCAGGAGAGUCACCCUAAGAAGGAUGUGUGGAAGACUUGACUGGAGGAUCAAAAUGUGUCGGGGGAAGGUGUACAAGGAGGAGUAAGGACACAGAUGUCCUGACUUCACACAGUGGGGGAUUAGAAGCCACCAUCAAACACAGAUGAAACAGGAAUAAAAGUAGUAGUACAUUACUUAAGCUUUAAAAGGGUAAGACUCCUGGGAAUUUGGAAGCUGAGACUUGAGGCAAGUAUUUAGGAUUUGCUGUCUCACCUCCCUGCUAUGACAGUCCUUAAUUAAUGGAGAUGAUGGAGAACAGCUUGCUGGGCUGAGUGGCAGGAGCCAUGCAGCUGCUGGGGCUGGAGUGGGUCAGGAAGCUUCAUCAAUCUGGGACACAUGACGUGCUUGGUGGUGGCGGAGCCUGACGCAUCCCUCUUCAUCGACAUUGUGUCAAUAGGAGCAGAGGCAUUUAGCUGUGUAAACACAGAGCUUCAGUGGCAGCACCCUAAAUGCUUAGCUGAUAGAUCCGGAAUUAAAUACAGACCUAGAAACUGGAGUUGGAAAACUUCCUGGCAGCACUCCUUCCCUGCCAUCCCGGUGAUCCCCUUCUGGAUGGAGGGUGUGGAGCUCAGCACAUUCACGUCUGCAGUUCUCAGAGAACCAAGUGUUAAGGAAUGUCAGGGAAGGAAGAAGGCAGCCAGCCAGGAAGGGGAGGUCCUGGCCUGAGCACGCCAGGCACAGAGGGAUAGAGGGUAGGGAGGAAACUGCACCUGUCUCCAACCCUCGACCCCAGCCCCGAAACACGACAUUGGCUGAAACAGAUUAAAAGCAUAAAAUGGCCCAAAGAAAUGGGAGAAGGUUGGCCUCUGGUCGGGCAAACAUGAGGGCAUGAAGAUAUAUAAUGUCCCACACGGGAGGAAACCCUUGCCGGGCCCCUCAGGAUUUAUAACAAGCUCACCUGAAGGAGAAACUUCAGGGGCACUUACACCAUCAGAUACCUAGAAAGGAGCUGUCAUUUCCUCACUGAAGAGUUUGCAAGCAGAUGGUAAAAGGGGUUUAAUUUGAAAACACUGAAACAUCGUGUUCGCUCAAAACCAUGACAAUUGCAGUUUUAUUGUCUCCACUCAGGAAAAUGUGUGUCUGGAUCAUCUUGUGGCCCGAAUGGGGAGAAAAGCAGCACAAGAAUGGAAUAGUACAGUGGCUACGAACACAGAAACCACACUCCAGGCCCAGUCCCCGGCAGUGGCCUCCAGGACCCACUCUGAGCUAGAUCACAUCAGUGAUGGGCUGGCCAAUCUUUAAGGAGAAUGACUCUACUCUUAGGAAGCCAGCAGGUUGGAGGAGGAAACACAUUCAAAUCCCGAGCACAAGGAGCUGGGAGAAGACCGGUUAUGGGAGCGGCAUUCCUGGAAGCUCUGAAGUCACAGCCCCACUGAUGAAAGGAUGUAAGAACCUAAGAGUGGAAACCUGCCCCUGGGAUUCAUAUGGUGUCCCCUCAGGACUCAAACCCUGGUCUGGUAUGCUCAGUAAAUGAAUGAAUAUACCCACUACACCCCAGGUUAUUUUUUUUCUGAAGACAUCGUUUGACACAGAGGGAACACUGUAGAUAAGAAGCCCAACCCUGUUAGAAAGCAGAAGGGUUUGUUUGGGAAAAGGAAACAAAAUAUAUUUUUAAGCUCCAUAAACAUAUGAUGAAUGCUAACAAGGUAUUUUCAAAAUAAGAAGCACAUAGAAACAGCUUAUGUUUCUGGUCAAAUGAAGUUGUAAUCAAAUCGUUAUCAAAGCAAAAAAAAAGAGAGGAAGAAAUCAAAAUGAGUCAGAAGAGUUUUUGGAAAGAUUCAGCAACUUAACUGACUUGAAGAGAUUUCCCUUGUCUCAGUCUUACUGCUGCUUCUAGGGGAACACAGUUUUGCACGGGAAUCGAGGCCAACUUGCAACCCACAGGCACUCUGGAGGAACAAAGAAAGUAUCGCCUGCAACUCACCACGGUCUCUCUCUCUUAAGCCCUUGCUCUUGCCAGAAGAAGUUUCACACAAAGGUUUGCCUGCGAGGCUGCGCUUUCCUCUCCAGAUCAGCAGAAACAACUUACCAGCAGAAAUACUUAAUGACGGAGCCAAGACUGGCACAGCCACGCGGUCACAGCUUUGUUCCCAAGAAGCAAGCCAAUUAGCAGCCCUGGUUAUUAUUUACAUUUCCCGCAAUAUAUCACUAAAAUUGUGUUGAUGAUUUAUCAUUUAUAUUAUGUUAUUGUCAGCAUAAUUUAUUCAGAUCAUGCUGAGAUACCUGGAAAAUUAAGUAAAAGAAAAAGAAGUGGCAUUGAAUUCAUCGGGUUUGAAAGAUAUUUCUCAGCUUCUUUUUUCUCUCCCUCUCUUUCUCUCUCUCUCUCUCUUUUAAUGAGGAUAGAUGUUAAGAAAAAUCAUGGAUCACUUAGCUAUUAAAUUGUUCCAGGAUCAUCUGCAUUAAAAGUUUGCUCAGUAUUCUUUUGUGAGAGAACAUGGCUUGGGCGUUCAUUUGGAUUUUCUUCUGGAACCUUUUCUUUCAGUCUAUUAUUUCAAAGUAAAAAAAAAAGGAAAUGCAAUCCUCUUUAGUUUAGAGCAAAGCAGAGUGGAUUAAUGAGGGGCUGGAGGCUUCUCUUCCAAUUUAUAAAACAUCCUUAUCUUCUGCCUUAUAUUCUAUUUGCCCCACCCUCUGGGAAAUAAUUGUUGCUUAUCAGAAUUAGAGAUAAAAUAUUCCAGUUGUUGAAGCCAUUCAUCAUCUAGGCAUUCUAGAAAAGCAGUUACUGAACUAGAGGCAGCAUUUUGAGCAUCAGAGCUCUGGGUUCUAGUCCCAGGUCUGUCCAGGCUUUGUGUGAUUCCAGGAGUCACUGAAGCUAUCCUGCUUCUGUUUCCCCAGCAGUGGGAUUCAUGGAUGUCCAGGAUCAGGCUUGCUGGGUCUGCCCCAGGUCUUCAGAAUCAGACUGCCUGGGGAAGGCACAUGGAGGUCUUUUUGACAGGUGUCAUAGGUGAUACUUCUACACACUUCAGUUAGAAAAGUCAUUGGGCUUACAUAUGCCUGCAGCCACUUCCAGCUCCAGUCUUCCUAGAGUUCUACGGACUCUAAUUAUAUGGCAUGUUUUGCAUAUUUCUGAAACUUCAUAUGGGAAACAAACUUUUGGAAAUUGAUUCAUUUAAGAAUCUGUGGCCAGGCGUGGUGGCUCACGACUGUAAUCCCAGCACUUUGGGAGGCUGA